rnacentral:rRNA from 1 species
AUUGAACGCUGGCGGCAUGCCUUACACAUGCAAGUCGAACGGCAGCACGGGGGCAACCCUGGUGGCGAGUGGCGAACGGGUGAGUAACAUAUCGGAACAUACCCUAGAGUGGGGGAUAACGUAGCGAAAGUUACGCUAAUACCGCAUACGAUCUAAGGAUGAAAGUGGGGGGAUCUUCGGACCUCAUGCUCAUGGAGUGGCCGAUAUCUGAUUAGCUAGUUGGUGAGGUAAAGGCUCACCAAGGCGACGAUCAGUAGCUGGUUUGAGAGAACGACCAGCCACACUGGAACUGAGACACGGUCCAGACUCCUACGGGAGGCAGCAGUGGGAAUUUUGGACAAUGGGGGCAACCCUGAUCCAGCAAUGCCGCGUGAGUGAAG